AUGGAGGAUAGUUUAUCGCUUGCUGACAUUGGUGCACGAAUGGAUUUCGAUACGGAGAUGGACAUGUUCUUUGCUGGGAAUGAUAAUUUUGAUCAGAAUCUUGAUGACUUUGCUGUGAAUGAUUUCGAGGAUCUUCCGAUAUGUGGACUUGAUGAGCAGUUGCCUGCUGGUUUACCUGAUUUUGAUUUCGACUUUGAUUUUGAUGGAUACAAUGAAGCUUGUGCUUGGAUGGAUGAUGUAGCAGCUACUCCAUUG
rnacentral:misc_RNA from 1 species